GACAGAGGGGGCAAGCGUUGCUCGGAAUUACUGGGCGUAAAGGGCGCGUAGGCGGAAUGGCAAGUCGGUCGUGAAAUCCUUCGGCUUAACCGAAGAACGUCGAUCGAAACUGCCGUUCUUGAGGAUUGCAGAGGAGACUGGAAUUCCCGGUGUAGCGGUGAAAUGUGUAGAGAUCGGGAGGAACACCAGUGGCGAAGGCGACUUACUGGACACAUAUUGACGCUGAGGUGCGAAAGCGUGGGGAGCAAACAGG
rnacentral:rRNA from 1 species